rnacentral:rRNA from 1 species
GUGGGGAAUAUUGCACAAUGGGCGCAAGUCUGAUGCAGCCAUGCCGCGUGUAUGAAGAAGGCCUUCGGGUUGUAAAGUACUUUCAGCGAGGAGGAAGGCAUUAAGGUUAAUAACCUUAGUGAUUGACGUUACUCGCAGAAGAAGCACCGGCUAACUCCGUGCCAGCAGCCGCGGUAAUACGGAGGGUGCAAGCGUUAAUCGGAAUUACUGGGCGUAAAGCGCACGCAGGCGGUUUGUUAAGUCAGAUGUGAAAUCCCCGGGCUCAACCUGGGAACUGCAUUUGAAACUGGCAAGCUUGAGUCUCGUAGAGGGGGGUAGAAGUCCAGGUGUAGCGGUGAAAUGCGUAGAGAUCUGGAGGAAUACCGGUGGCGAAGGCGGCCCCCUGGACGAAGACUGACGCUCAGGUGCGAAAGCGUGGGGAGCAAACAGGAUUAGAUACCCUUGUAGUCC